CCAAAACUUAGCUGCUCCAGUUCAGGCUGGUUGCACGCUUCAACCCUUUGUGAACCAAAAACCUUUACGCUUCGGCAGCUGGUUCCAGCUGUAAGCCUGCCGAUGGCACCCAUUUAAACCUGUUGCUUCCCCCCGAGGUGCCCCGUCUCAUCAGAAUCUCUGUUUCGAACCCUACGAUACUUUCUGAAUGUUCUUAGCGAACUGUC
rnacentral:misc_RNA from 1 species